rnacentral:rRNA from 1 species
GAUGGAGCAAUNCNNCGUGAGUGAAGAAGGGUUUCGGCUCGUAAAACUCUNUGUNAAAGAAGAACNNUUGAGAGUACUNUCAAGGNUGACGGUAUUUANCCAGAAANCCACGGCUAACUACGUGCCAGCAGCCGCGGUAAUACGUAGGUGGCAAGCGUUGUCCGGAUUUAUUGGGCGUAAAGCGAGCGCAGGCGGUUUUUUAAGUCUGAUGUGAAAGCCUUCGGCUUAACCGGAGAAGUGCAUCGGAAACUGGGAGACUUGAGUGCAGAAGAGGACAGUGGAACUCCAUGUGUAGCGGUGGAAUGCGUAGAUAUAUGGAAGAACACCAGUGGCGAAGGCGGCUGUCUAGUCUGUAACUGACGCUGAGGCUCGAAAGCAUGGGUAGCGAACAGGAUUAGAUACCCUGGUAGUCCAUGCCGUAAACGAUGAGUGCUAAGUGUUGGAGGGUUUCCGCCCUUCAGUGCUGCAGCUAACGCAUUAAGCACUCCGCCUGGGGAGUACGACCGCAAGGUUGAAACUCAAAGGAAUUGACGGGGGCCCGCACAAGCGGUGGAGCAUGUGGUUUAAUUCGAAGCUACGCGAAGAACCUUACCAGGUCUUGACAUCUUCUGCCAAUCUUAGAGAUAAGACGUUCCCUUCGGGGACAGAAUGACAGGUGGUGCAUGGUUGUCGUCAGCUCGUGUCGUGAGAUGUUGGGUUAAGUCCCGCAACGAGCGCAACCCUUAUUAUCAGUUGCCAGCAUUCAGUUGGGCACUCUGGUGAGACUGCCGGUGACAAACCGGAGGAAGGUGGGGAUGACGUCAAAUCAUCAUGCCCCUUAUGACCUGGGCUACACACGUGCUACAAUGGACGGUACAACGAGUUGCGAAGUCGUGAGGCUAAGCUAAUCUCUUAAAGCCGUUCUCAGUUCGGAUUGUAGGCUGCAACUCGCCUACAUGAAGUUGGAAUCGCUAGUAAUCGCGGAUCAGCAUGCCGCGGUGAAUACGUUCCCGGGCCUUGUACACACCGCCCGUCACACCAUGAGAGUUUGUAACACCCAAAGCCGGUGAGAUAACCUUCGGGAGUCAGCC